AAGUCGUAACAAGGUCUCCGUUGGUGAACCAGCGGAGGGAUCAUUACCGAGUUUACAACUCCCAAACCCCUAUGUGAACGUUACCAAACUGUUGCCUCGGCGGGAAUUUCAUGCCCCGGGCGCGUCGCAGCCCCGGACCAAGGCGCCCGCCGGAGGACCAACCAAAACUCUUUUGUAUGUCCCCUCGCGGACUUUUAUAAUUCUGAACCAUCUCGGCGCCCCUUAGCGGGCGUUUCGAAAAUGAAUCAAAACUUUCAACAACGGAUCUCUUGGUUCUG
rnacentral:misc_RNA from 1 species